UACGUAGGGGGCAAGCGUUAUCCGGAUUUACUGGGUGUAAAGGGAAGCGUAGACGGUGAUGCAAGUCUGAUGUGAAAGCCCGGUGCUCAACGCCGGGACUGCAUUGGAAACUGUGUUACUAGAGUGCAGGAGAGGUAAGCGGAAUUCCUAGUGUAGCGGUGAAAUGCGUAGAUAUUAGGAGGAACACCAGUGGCGAAGGCGGCUUACUGGACUGUAACUGACGUUGAGGCUCGAAAGCGCGGGGAGCAAACAGGAUUAGGAUACCCUGGUA
rnacentral:rRNA from 1 species